rnacentral:rRNA from 1 species
GACGAACGCUGGCGGCGUGCCUAAUACAUGCAAGUCGAACGCUGAAGAGAGGAGCUUGCUCUUCUUGGAUGAGUUGCGAACGGGUGAGUAACGCGUAGGUAACCUGCCUUGUAGCGGGGGAUAACUAUUGGAAACGAUAGCUAAUACCGCAUAACAAUGGAUGACACAUGUCAUUUAUUUGAAAGGGGCAAUUGCUCCACUACAAGAUGGACCUGCGUUGUAUUAGCUAGUAGGUGAGGUAAUGGCUCACCUAGGCGACGAUACAUAGCCGACCUGAGAGGGUGAGCGGCCACACUGGGACUGAGACACGGCCCAGAGUCCUACGGGAGGCAGCAGUAGGGAAUCUUCGGCAAGGGGGGCAACCCUGACCGAGCAACGCCGCGUGAGGGAAGAAGGUUGUCGGAUCGUAAAGCUCUGUUGUAAGUCAAGAACGGGUGUGAGAGUGGAAAGUUCACACUGUGACGGUAGCUUACCAGAAAGGGACGGCUAACUACGUG